GACGAACCGUGCGAACGUUGUUCGGAAUCACUGGGCUUAAAGGGCGCGUAGGCGGCCCCCCCAAGUCAAGGGUGAAAUCUUUCGGCUUAACCGGAAAAGUGCCUUUGAUACUGGGGGGCUCGAGGGAGGUAGGGGCGGACGGAACUUCCGGUGGAGCGGUGAAAUGCGUUGAUAUCGGAAGGAACGCCGGUGGCGAAAGCGGUCCGCUGGCCCUCUA
rnacentral:rRNA from 1 species